rnacentral:rRNA from 1 species
UAGUAAUGGCAGGUCAGCAUACUGCCGUGAAUACGUUCCCGGGCCUUGUACACACCGCCCGUCACACCAUGAGAGUUGGGAAUACCCGAAGCCUGUGAGCUAACUUUAGAGGCAGCAGUCGAAGGUAGAAUCAAUGAUUGGGGUGAAGUCGUAACAAGGUAGC